rnacentral:tRNA from 1 species
GUGGGCAUAGCUCAGUGGUAGAGUGCCUGCUUAGCAUGCACGAGAUCCUGGGUUCAAUCCUCAGUACCUCCA